CACGUACUCCCUCCGUUCGAAAAUAUUUAUCGGAAGAAUGAAUGUAUCUAGACGUAUUUUAAUUCUAGAUACAUUCAUUUUUAUACAUUUCUCCGACAAGUAUUUCAGGACGGAGGGAGUACUAG
rfam:Triticum aestivum genome assembly, contig: Triticum_aestivum_CS42_TGACv1_scaffold_033317_1BL